ACACAGAAAUAUUCAGACUCUAAACUCUCUAAUUACAACACGUUAUCAGCACGAUAGACUCUCAAAACCCUGAGAAAGAAAAUCGCCAAUCCGUAACCCUAAACUAAAAUCCGUCACACAUAAACCCUAAAUCCGGCGCAACUUAAAAUCGAUCGAUCUCUCAAACCCUGAAGAGCCAGACGACGAUCCACAUAUCAUCUUGAAGCCCUUGACGAGACGAAUCCGUCAGCGCAAACAGUUCGUCGAUCUGAUCUCAGACGCGCCCUCACGCUCAUCUACAAUACACGUCGCCGUUUUACUUUUGGAACCCUAAUCCCGAAGAACCCUAAAUUGUUCUUGCUUGCGUUCCGGCUUGCAAACAU
rnacentral:lncRNA from 1 species